AUGGCACGAUAUAUUGUUUGGCUCAAACAAUUCAAAACCUUUGAGGACAAGUCCCGUGCCAUUAGGUUUGAUACUGGUGUUGACAGAAAACUUUCUAAGAUGAUCAUGAAGUGGCGCCGUCCUGGGCAGAUGAUAGCUGUUGGGAAACCCGAGUAUAAAACAAUAAUAGAAAGGAGCUUGGGUAUACCCUGCCUUUUUGAUGAAAUUGUGAUGGAGGUAAUGUGGGGUGUGAAGAAUAUCAUGCAUAGUUUAGUGCCUGAAGAAAAAUCAGAACUUACUUGGGAGGACCGCCUCCCCAUGAGCCAAGGACUAAAAAUGUUCUUGACUCGCAAAGGCUUUGAUGUCAAACCAGAGAUGGUUAAUGAGCGCAUUGUUUUGUCAGCAUGUGCCUUGUAUGAUUGCGAUUUUAUUGAGAAGAAACAUUACACAUCUUUGAAACGUGCUGGUGAGGACCUUAAGGAUGUGUCUGGCAUUAACGCCCAGGAUUGGAGCUUACUGAAACUUGCAACAGCUCUGAUGAUUAUAUGUUUUUCUGAAGAAGAAGUUCUAGUUGGUGAUCCGAAAGAGAUGUUUACAGUUGACGAGCUGUCGAAGUUCCAGGAUGACUCACAGAAAUACAAUGACAAGAUCUCAAAGUACCCAUGCUGGAGAAUCUACGAAGAAAUAGUGUGUGCCUAUGAAGCAAGAGCAGCAAAUAAAAUACUAUUGGCCUCCUUUUUUAAGGAGGCUACAGAAGCACAUGAAGAAGCUCAUAAGACUACCUGA
rnacentral:rRNA from 1 species